rnacentral:rRNA from 1 species
AUGGAACUCCAGGCAGACCUCAUCCUAGUGGAGCUGCAGGUUGAGUUCAAGGAGGCCUCUAUUAAAGCGAAAUCAUGCUCUCCUGUCUCUUUGUUUGUGCUGUGCAAACAGGAAUACUCAACUACAGAUGUUGUGACAGUCAAGAGCAUUCGCCAAGUUCUUCGAUUGUAUGACAUGGCUAGCCAAGAUGGAUUUAAUCCCGAUAUUCACUUUAUCAAAAGGCUCUUAUGGGUUCGUUCUGAAUCUUGCAAGCUGGGAAUCAAUGAGAUGUGUAGGCAUCUUUGUUGUACUUAUUGUUUGAAUUUUAUUUGUUGGUUCUGA